ACUAGUUUAUAUUGUCCAUUAUUUAACACAUAUAGAAAAUGAUACAGUUAAAUUUUAAGUACUUGAUAGAUGUUCCUCGCUCAAAUACGAAAAUUUUUCAGGUAAAUUAAAAAUUCUUGUUCAAAUACCGAAGGAUGGCUCAAAUAAACACCCCAAGUAGCAAACAAUAUUAAAGUAAUAUUGGCACGAUAUUGGGUAUCUUGGCUAAUCUUGGCCAAGAUAUCCGAUAUUGCGCCAAUAUUGUCAAGCAAUAUUACGCCAAUAUUGUUUUACCAAUAUUGGCAAACAAUAUUGCGCCAAUAUUAUCUAUUAUCGUUUUCCUAAAAUUGUUACGCCAAUAUUGGCGAAAUAUUGCGCCAAUAUUAUCCCAUUUAUCAAUUUACUGAUAUUGUUAUGCCAAUAUUAGCGAAAUAUUGUUUGCCAAUAUUGGCUUUAUAUUAAAUUUUACGUAUAGGUACGCAUGCGAAACAUUAAGGAAUAUUCAUAAUAUCCUUUACUUUUGUUGAAUGUAAACAAAAGCAUCUUUUUACAUAAACUGGCCUCCUUAUAUUAAUAAUUUUUUUACAAAAACAAAUAAUAGUUCAAAACAAAAGUUUUAAUUUAUAAAAAGAAAAGAAGUAGGAAAAGUAUUUUUAAAUCAACAUUUACAGAGUGAAUCAGGAGAAGAAGUGUUGGUAAUUUAUUUUGAAACAGAUAGUAUCACGAGAAGAAGUGCUGAUGUACCGUUAAACUGAAGAUAGUAAUAAAGUUUAGAAAAUUUGCUCUGGCUGAAUUUUUCAAUGAAAAAACAAUAUGUGUGCCAUGAAUGUAAUCUGUUUUUCAUGGCGAAUCAAUGAAAGUUUGGUGUAUUGGCCAAAUCACUUGCAAGCAUCUUGUCUUUAGGCUGCCAUACGUUAAGACACGCUUUUAAAAGUAACUGAAAGCAGCUGAAAAUAAGAGUUUUUUGAUGAACUUUCUUACUUCGGUUGGAGGAGAUAAGAGACAAUUUACAGCGGCAAAUUUUAAUACAGCUAAUGGCCAAAAAAGUAUGUUUUUCGUACUCAGUGUAUGGAAUGAAACAAAAACGUCCUGCAAGGUCGUUAUAGAGUUGCGUUUAGUCGUUUAUCGUUGUAUUUGUUCAUUUCGAAAUCGCUACUGACAAAAGUAU